UUUAGUUGGAAGAAAUUUUCAGGAAAAUUCUCAAUUUCCAAGCUGGGCAAUUUCAAUCACUGUAAUAAUUCCUAUUGUUCUUGUUAUUGUUAUUGCCUUGGCAGUUUUACUUAUUGUUCUUUACAUUGGAAAAGGAAAUGAAUUGUGUGCUCCUGGAUCUAAAAAAGAAAAAGAAGUGCUGUAAAAAACAGAUCAAUAAUGUAAUUUGAUUGUACUGGAUAGACUUAAUCAUUGUGUUUAGUGUUGUGAUGUUUACUUCGUACUAAU